rnacentral:rRNA from 1 species
AGGGGGUUUGAUCAUGGCUCAGAACGAACGCUCGCAGCGUGGAUUAGGCAUGCAAGUCGCGCGUGAAAGCCUUCGGGUGAGUAAAGCGGCGAACGGGUGAGUAACACGUAACCAACCUACCCCCGAGAUCGGGAUAACCAUUGGAAACGGUGGCUAAGACCGAAUAGUCCCGGGAGUCGGCAUCGACGCUUGGGUAAACGGUAGCUUCGGCAACUGUUCGGGGAGGGGGUUGCGGCCUAUCAGCUUGUUGGUGGGGUAACGGCCUACCAAGGCUAUGACGGGUAGCGGGUCUGAGAGGAUGAUCCGUCACACUGGGACUGAGACACUGCCCAGACUCCUACGGGAGGCUGCAGUCGAGAAUCUUCCGCAAUGGGCGAAAGCCUGACGGAGCGACGCCGCGUGCAGGAUGAAGGCCUUCGGGUUGUAAACUGCUGUCACGCUAUAGGAAAAGUCUUCGGACCGUGACCAAAGCGAGAGGAAGCACCGGCUAACUCCGUGCCAGCAGCCGCGGUAAGACGGAGGGUGCAAACGUUGCUCGGAAUCACUGGGCAUAAAGCGCACGUAGGCGGCUUUCUAAGUCAGAUGUGAAAUCCCUCGGCUCAACCGGGGAACUGCAUCUGAUACUGGAUUGCUCGAGGACGGUAGGGGUGAGUGGAACUCCAGGUGGAGCGGUGAAAUGCGUAGAUAUCUGGAGGAACACCAGUGGCGAAAGCGGCUCACUGGACCGUCUCUGACGCUGAGGUGCGAAAGCUAGGGUAGCGAACGGGAUUAGAUCCCCCGGUAGUCCUAGCCGUAAACGAUGGGCACUAGGCAGGGGGGAUUCCUAUGGUCUUCCCUGCCGCAGCAAAUGCAUUAAGUGCCCCGCCUGGGGAGUACGCUCGCAAGGGUAAAACUCAAAGGAAUUGACGGGGGCUCACACAAGCGGUGGAGCAUGUGGUUUUUAAUUCGAAGCAACGUGAAGAACCUUACCUAGCCUUGACAUGCACGGAUAGCCCCCUGGAAAGUAGAGUGACGGCCCUUCGGGGUUGGAACGUACACAGGUGUUGCAUGGCUGUCGUCAGCUCGUGCCGUGAGGUGUUGGGUUAAGUCCCGUAACGAGCGCAACCCUUAUCGUUAGUUGCCAGCGGGUUAUGCCGGGGACUCUAGCGAGACUGCCGUUGUCAAAACGGAGGAAGGUGGGGAUGACGUCAAGUCAUCAUGGCCCUUAUGGCUAGGGCUACACACGUGCUACAAUGGUCGGUACAAAGGGUCCCGAGACCGCAAGGUGGAGGAAAUCCCACAAAGCCGGCCCCAGUUCGGAUUGCAGGCUGCAAUUCGCCUGCAUGAAGCCGGAAUCGCUAGUAAUCGCGUAUCAGCUACGACGCGGUGAAUAUGUUCCUGAGCCUUGUACACACUGCCCGUCAAGCCACGAAAGCGGGGAGCGCGCGAAGUCGCUAUGUCUAACCUUCGGGAAGGACGGCGCCGAAAGCGAGCUCCGUGAUUGGGACUAAGUCGUAACCAAGGUAGCC